GUAGGUGGCAAGCGUUGUCCGGAAUUAUUGGGCGUAAAGCGCGCGCAGGCGGUUCUUUAAGUCUGAUGUGAAAGCCCACGGGCUCAACCGUGGAGGGUCAUUGGAAACUGGAGAACUUGAGUACAGAAGAGGGAAAGCGGAAUUCCACGUGUAGCGGUGAAAUGCGUAGAGAUGUGGAGGAACACCAGUGGCGAAGGCGGCUUUCUGGUCUGUAACUGACGCUGAGGCGCGAAAGCGUGGGGAGCAAACAGGAUUAGAUACCCUGGUAGUCCACGCCGUAAACGAUGAGUGCUAAGUGUUAGGGGGUUUCCGCCCCUUAGUGCUGCAGCUAACGCAUUAAGCACUCCGCCUGGGGAGUACGGCCGCAAGGCUG
rnacentral:rRNA from 1 species